rnacentral:tRNA from 1 species
GCGGGUGUAGCUCAGUCGGUUAGAGCGCCAGAUUGUGGAUCUGGAGGCCGUGGGUUCGAUUCCCAUCACUCGCCCCA